rnacentral:rRNA from 1 species
UACGUAGGCAGCAAGCGUUGUUCGGAGUUACUGGGCGUAAAGAGUGCGUAGGUGGUGCCCUAAGUCUGUUGUGAAAUCUCCCGGCUUAACUGGGAGGGUGCGGUGGAAACUGGGGUGCUUGAGUGUGGGAGAGGUAAGCGGAAUUCCUGGUGUAGCGGUGAAAUGCGUAGAUAUCAGGAGGAACACCAAUAGCGAAGGCAGCUCGCUGGGACGGUACUGACGCUAAGGCGCGAAAGCGUGGGGAGCGAACAGG